ensembl:lncRNA
UUUGUGGAGUCAGUAUUUUUAAAUUACAGUAAUAAGAAGUAUUCCUCUAUUUGUUUUUUGUUUUAAAUAAUGUAUUCAAAUGUGAAAGCCCUCAUCGUCUGAGACACUUGUCCUUCAAAAGUUGUCUGGAGCAACAUACAUUAACUCUCGCAGAGGUGAAAAAGGACACAAAUCACUUAAGAGAGGUUACUGUUACCGGAAAGAUUUUAGACUUUCAGCCUGCAAUCAGCGUUCUGCAGAAUGAAGAAGAAGGGAUACAUUAUUCUCAUUAUAUUCUGUAUGAUACCACUGCAAAAGUUCACUUGAGUUUAACAGAUAAAUUUAUUGUAACCAUCAAUCAGUGGUAUAUAUUUAAAAGUCUUUCCAUCUGUGACUUUGGCAAGGGAAAUGUGCUUUGUUCAACCGAACUCACAACACUGGAGUCCUUUACUCUUUUAGCAGACAAUCUACUGGAGUCUGAAGAGACCGUCAUCUCAGGGAAGGCCACUGAGGCAUUACUGACCUUUGAAUAUAUUUGUUCUUGCAGUACCACGCUCUCUUUCUCAAAUGGCAAAUUGUUCCGUAUUAAAUGCAACAAGUGCAGAAAAAGCUGCAGGUGUGAAAAUAUUCAAAACAGAGCCAAGGCCAAUGUAACCAUCAAACAGCUCAAUGGAAGAGACCAGAGAGUGGUGUUAAAUGACGCACUGCUGCACUCCAUUUUCAGCUUUAAGAGAGAGGGAUACUGUGACAGUCAGCAGCUAGAGGACCGUCUGCUGAGAGCUGAGAGAAUGACUGUUGUCUGUGUGGAUGAUGAGCCUCGGCGUGUGCAAAUAGAAGCAGUGGAAGAUGUGGCAAAAAAAAAAAUUUUUUCUAGAUGCUGUGUCAUUUGAAGUCUUUUUCCUUAAAUGGUUAGUUAAUUCCAAACUCAUUAGAAAUUAGUUUGUCUUUGGAACACAAAUGAAGAUAUUUUUAAUGAUACCUGAGAGAUUUCUGUCUAUCAAUUUAAAGACUAUUCACCCAAAACUCUGAUGCUCUGAAUGCUCGUGAAAAGAACAACUAAUAAAUCCAUAUGAAUUAAGCAGUUUAAUCCAAGUCUUCUGAAGAGACAUGAUCACUUUAUAUGAUGAACAGCUUUAAUUUUGGCUUUAAUUCACAUAUGAAAAUUGAUCAGCAAACAGAAACAGAAGCUCAACCAUGCCUGCUUGUUGAUCAAGAACAAACAUGACACGCAAAAAUAAACCUCACUGGUUCUCGUUAAAAGGCAAACUAUAAUUUUUUUCCCUUGAUAUUGUUAUAUUGAUCAUUAAUGUAAUUGCAUUCAUUGCAUAAAAGGCCAUUGAACUCCUACGCUCAACAGAAAUGUGUAACAUGAAAUGUCGUUGUAAUGCUCAAC